UACCAGCACCCCGAGUGGUCGGGACGAUUAUUGGGCCUAAAGCAUCCGUAGCUUGUUCUGCAAGUCCUCCGUUAAAUCCACCUGCUCAACAGAUGGGCUGCGGGGGAUACUACAGGGCUAGGAGGCGGGAGAGGCAAGCGGUACUCGAUGGGUAGGGGUAAAAUCCGUUGAUCCAUUGAAGACCACCAGUGGCGAAGGCGGCUUGCCAGAACGCGCUCGACGGUGAGGGAUGAAAGCUGGGGGAG
rnacentral:rRNA from 1 species